UGAGGAAUUUUGCGCAAUGGGAGCAAUCCUGACGCAGCAACGCCGCGUGGGUGAUGAAGGCCUUCGGGUCGUAAAGCCCUGUCAGGUGGGAAGAAUGUCCCGGGACUGAACAGGUUCCGGGAGUGACGGUACCACCAGAGGAAGCACCGGCUAACUCCGUGCCAGCAGCCGCGGUAAUACGGAGGGUGCAAGCGUUAUUCGGAAUUACUGGGCGUAAAGCGCGUGUAGGCGGUCCCGCAAGUCUGAGGUGAAAGCGCCGGGCUUAACCCGGGAAGUGCAUUGGAAACUGUGGGAC
rnacentral:rRNA from 1 species